CACUUCUAAGGAAGGCAGCAGGCGCGCAAAUUACCCAAUCCUGACUCAGGGAGGUAGUGACAAGAAAUAACAAUAAACCGGCUUAUGCCGGUUUAAUUGGAAUGAGUACAAUUUAAACAUCUUAACGAGGAACAAUUGGAGGGCAAGUCUGGUGCCAGCAGCCGCGGUAAUUCCAGCUCCAAUAGCGUAUACUAAAGUUGUUGCAGUUAAAAAGCUCGUAGUUGGAUUUCUGUGGGGACGGAGCGGCCGGCCGCAACACGCGGUUCGAGCUAGCGCUUUCCCUACAUCCUGCCGCGAACCGUGCUACCAUUAAUUUGGUGGCGCCGGGGAUCGGCUCGAUUACUUUGAGAAAAAUAGAGUGUUCAAAGCAGGCCACACGCCUUGAAUAAGUUAGCAUGGAAUAAUAACUAAGGACUUCGGUUCUAUUUUGUUGGUGUUCGGGACUGAAGUAAUGAUUGAUAGGGACAGUUGGGGCGGUCUGUAUUCCAAAGCGAGAGGUGAAAUUCUUAGACCUUCGGAAGACAAACAGCUGCGAAAGCGUUCCGCAAGGAUGUUCCCUUUGAUCAAGAACGAAAGUUGGGGGAUUGAAGACGAUCAGAUACCGUCGUAGUCUCAACUAUAAACUAUACCAGCUAGGGAUCGGCCAACGUUAUUUAAACCGACUUGGUCGGCACCUUAUGAGAAAUCAAAGCAUCUGGGUUCCGGGGGGAGUAUGGUCGCAAGGCUGAAACUUAAAGGAAUUGACGGAAGGGCACCACCAGCCGUGGAGCCUGUGGCUUAAUUUGACUCAACACGGGAAAACUUACCAGGUCCAGACAUAGUAAGGAUUGACAGAUUGAUAGCUCUUUCUUGAUUCUGUGGGUGGUGGUGCAUGGCCGUUCUUAGUUGGUGGAGUGAUUUGUCUGGUUAAUUCCGUUAACGAACGAGACCCCAGCCUGCUAAAUAGCGCGUGUGAGCUUUGCUCGCAGCGAGCUUCUCAGAGGGACUAUGAUGCGCGAUAGCACAUGGAAGUUUGGGGCAAUAACAGGUCUGUGAUGCCCUUAGAUGUUCUGGGCCGCACACGGGCUACACUGGCGCCUGCAACGAGCAUAUCAGCUGGCCCGAGAGGGUCUUGGCUAAUCUUUUGAACCGGCGCCGUGCUUGGGAUUGACCUUUGCAAUUGUUGGUCAUGCAACGAGGAAUGCCUUGUAAACGCGAGUCAUCAGCUCGCAUUGAAUACGUCCCUGCCCUUUGUACACACCGCCCGUCGCUCCUACCGAUGAAUGUUCCGAUGAAAUUUUCGGAGAGUGCCUGUGAACUUGGCUCUGCCUUGCGAACGGGAAGCUCAAAGUCACUUAAAUCUGAACAUUUCGAGG
rnacentral:rRNA from 1 species